UGGAAUGGUUCCUUUUACCAGGGCCCACCAUGCAGCUUUGUGAAGACACAACUGGCCAGAUAGGGGAAAGGGUAAAAUUAGGGCAUCACAGUACCCUGCUGUUGUUUUGAUGGGAAAGAAGGACUGAUGAAACAAACUGGGCAUUUCAGUCUCUGCUCUAUCACAACUUAAAACAUAAGAUGCUCAGGGAGGGUACAGAGGAAAGAGAAAUAUAGACUGAAUGCCAAAACAACACUUGAAAGAAUUCUUGUUGUUCCACAGAACAACUCAGAGAGGAGAGAUAAAAGGAGAAAUAAAACAGUUGAGGCUUCUCUGUAUAAAUUGUGACUCUGGCAAAAACUACUGUUUGCACACAUAUAU